rnacentral:lncRNA from 1 species
GUGUGUGUGCUGUUCAGAAUUGCUGGCAUGUAAAGGCUAAAAGCUAGGCUUUGUGAAAUCAUUUGAUGUCUUAACCAAAGCGUGCAGGAAAUUUUAAAAAGAAACCUAACUUGGGCAUUUUAAUUCUUUCAUGGGCUAAAAUUGCUGCUCAAUCCGUGUGCCUUAAAAAUUGAUCCAAACCAUUCAAUGUUUUAUACCAUUGCUUUCAAAAUCAAAUUUCCAAAUUAUCUUUUUGUCCUUAACUUCAAAACUCUAUAAAUAGAAAAUCUUUUCUUUAUUUUCAAUUUACCAAUUUACAAAGCAAAGAAAAGCUAUAUAUGUUUGCCUACAUUUUCUCUCUCAAGAAGUUUUCUCUUCAUCUUGUACUUCAAAGUUCUAAUUCUUGAAAGAAUAUAAAAUU